UACGGAGGGGGCAAGCGUUGUCCGGAUUUAUUGGGUUUAAAGGGUGCGUAGGCGGCCCGUUAAGUCAGUGGUGAAAGCCUCCAGCUCAACUGGAGAACUGCCAUUGAUACUGACGGGCUUGAGUACAGACGAGGUUGGCGGAAUUGAUUGUGUAGCGGUGAAAUGCAUAGAUACAAUCAAGAACUCCGAUUGCGUAGGCAGCUAACUAGGCUGUAACUGACGCUGAGGCACGAAAGCGUGGGGAGCGAACAGG
rnacentral:rRNA from 1 species